UUGUCAGCUACAUAAAUUUAAGCUAUAUUUGUAAAUGGUAAUGGGCAAGGCAUGUACUAGACUGUGUUUAAAGACAGAAAUUAAAGAGAUUGAGAUGCAUCACCAGAUUUUUACCCCAUCAAAAGUUGUGCUUUAUAUUAUGGGGGAUGCUUACAGGCCCAAAUGUCCUGCUAUAUUCCUGCAUGUCCAGUGAAAACAUGGUAGCAAAGUGCAUUGAGGGAAACAGGAUUGUGAUUAUAAAUUAAGUAAUGUGAAGAGUAGCAACAUCUGGAUACAGAUUUAAUGCUACUGAGCUCUGACUUGAAAAGCAAAGCCAAAAGUGCAACACGGAGAACUCAAAGUACAGAUGGCUGUUAUGCAAACAUCCAGGCUAAUGGCAGAUGCGUGAAAAAUAGUCAAUAAUCCAAAAACACAAGAUCCAGAAUGCGCUGGGAUCAUUACACUUUCCAGGACAAACAGACAGAAUACAACCUCCACAAAGCGGGGCUCACAGAAAAAAA